rnacentral:rRNA from 1 species
UACAGAGGGUGCGCGCGGUAAUCGAAAUUGCUGGGCGUAAAGCGCACGUAGGUGGCGACGUAAGUCGGGUGUGAAAGCCUCGGGCUCAACCUGGGAAUUGCAUUCGAGACUGCAUUGCUGGAGUACGGAAGAGGAGGGCGGAAUUCCCGGUGUAGCGGUGAAAUGCGUAGAUAUCGGGAGGAACAUCAGUGGCGUAGGCGGCGCUUGUGUCCAGUACAGACAAUCAAUUGUGAAAGCGUGGGGAGCAAACAGG